AGAGGAAGUUCCACUCUCAGGCGCUCUAACACGCCCAGGAUCAGAGGUUGGAAUUAUCAUUGUGAGCAUUGUGAUCCUACUCUGUUUGGAUUUGAUUUUUAAAAGAUGUUCAUCUUUAUAUUGAAAUAACAUUCAACUAAAAGUAGGAGCAACGUUUCCCUAUGGUUGUUCAUCUCAAUAUGACAACUCUCUCCUUUUUCAUUUUAGAGAGUGGAAAGUUACUUUUUAUUCCUUAGUAAUAUUAUUCAUUAAAUGACAUAAUUGCCCAA